rnacentral:rRNA from 1 species
GACAGAGGUGCCGAGCGUUAGGCGGAAUCACUGGGCUUAAAGCGUGUGUAGGCGGACUUCUAAGUACCUUGUGAAAUCCCACGGCUCAACCGUGGAACUGCUCGGUAUACUGGUUGUCUUGAGCCACUUAGGGGCAGUCGGAACAGACGGUGGAGCGGUGAAAUGCGUAGAUAUCGUUUGGAACGCCAAUGGUGAAAACAGGUCGCUGGGGAUGUGCCGACGCUGAGACACGAAAGCCAGGGGAGCGAACGGG